UAGGGAAUCUUCGGCAAUGGACGAAAGUCUGACCGAGCAACGCCGCGUGAGUGAAAAAGGUUUUCGGAUCGUAAAACUCUGUUGUUAGAGAAGAACAAGGACGUUAGUAACUGAACGUCCCCUGACGGUAUCUAACCAGAAAGCCACGGCUAUCUACGUGCCAGCAGCCGCGGUAAUACGUAGGUGGCAAGCGUUGUCCGGAUUUAUUGGGCGUAAAGCGAGCGCAGGCGGUUUCUUAAGUCUGAUGUGAAAGCCCCCGGCUCAACCGGGGAGGGUCAUUGGAAACUGUGAGACUUGAGUGCAGAAGAGGAGAGUGGAAUUCCAUGUGUAGCGGUGAAAUGCGUAGAUAUACGGAGGAACACCAGUGGCGAAGGCGGCUCUCUGGUCUGUAACUGACGCUGAGGCUCGAAAGCGUGGGGAGCAAACAGG
rnacentral:rRNA from 1 species